rnacentral:rRNA from 1 species
AAUUCCGGUUGAUUCUGCCGGAGGCCAUUAUUAUCGGAGUCCGAUUUAGCCAUGCUAGUUGUGCGGGUUUAGACCCGCAGCGGAAAGCUCAGUAACACGUGGCCAAGCUACCCUGUGGACGGGAAUACUCUCGGGAAACUGAGGCUAAUCCCCGAUAACGCUUUGCUCCUGGAAGGGGCAAAGCCGGAAACGCUCCGGCGCCACAGGAUGCGGCUGCGGUCGAUUAGGUAGACGGUGGGGUAACGGCCCACCGUGCCCAUAAUCGGUACGGGUUGUGAGAGCAAGAGCCCGGAGACGGAAUCUGAGACAAGAUUCCGGGCCCUACGGGGCGCAGCAGGCGCGAAACCUUUACACUGUACGAAAGUGCGAUAAGGGGACUCCGAGUGUGAAGGCAUAGAGCCUUCACUUUUGUACACCGUAAGGUGUGCACGAAUAGGACUGGGCAAGACCGGUGCCAGCCGCCGCGGUAAUACCGGCAGUCCGAGUGAUGGCCGAUCUUAUUGGGCCUAAAGCGUCCGUAGCUGGCUGAACAAGUCCGUUGGGAAAUCUGUCCGCUUAACGGGCAGGCGUCCAGCGGAAACUGUUCAGCUUGGGACCGGAAGACCUGAGGGGUACGUCUGGGGUAGGAGUGAAAUCCUGUAAUCCUGGACGGACCGCCGGUGGCGAAAGCGCCUCAGGAGAACGGAUCCGACAGUGAGGGACGAAAGCUAGGGUCUCGAACCGGAUUAGAUACCCGGGUAGUCCUAGCUGUAAACGAUGUCCGCUAGGUGUGGCGCAGGCUACGAGCCUGCGCUGUGCCGUAGGGAAGCCGAGAAGCGGACCGCCUGGGAAGUACGUCUGCAAGGAUGAAACUUAAAGGAAUUGGCGGGGGAGCACUACAACCGGAGGAGCCUGCGGUUUAAUUGGACUCAACGCCGGACAUCUCACCAGCCCCGACAGUAGUAAUGACGGUCAGGUUGAUGACCUUACCCGAGGCUACUGAGAGGAGGUGCAUGGCCGCCGUCAGCUCGUACCGUGAGGCGUCCUGUUAAGUCAGGCAACGAGCGAGACCCGCACUCCUAAUUGCCAGCAGUACCCUUUGGGUAGCUGGGUACAUUAGGUGGACUGCCGCUGCCAAAGCGGAGGAAGGAACGGGCAACGGUAGGUCAGUAUGCCCCGAAUGGGCUGGGCAACACGCGGGCUACAAUGGUCGAGACAAUGGGAAGCCACUCCGAGAGGAGGCGCUAAUCUCCUAAACUCGAUCGUAGUUCGGAUUGAGGGCUGAAACUCGCCCUCAUGAAGCUGGAUUCGGUAGUAAUCGCGUGUCAGCAGCGCGCGGUGAAUACGUCCCUGCUCCUUGCACACACCGCCCGUCAAAUCACCCGAGUGGGGUUCGGACGAGGCCGGCAUGCGC